AUAGACUGUCUAAAACCAUAGAGCCUGAUCCCAACCUAAACUAAGCAGGUUUUAUAUAUUACGUGACCGCAGUGGGGCAAGUAUUACAUUAUGUUGAAGAGGGCUGCUCAGUAUACACCUCAUUCUUCAAUCUGAUAUUGGGCAAGCAUCCAGGAGGGUUGAAGAUCAAUAAUUACAUGAAGCAUUUAGAGUUUCCAUGUUCAUAAUUAUCCCCAGCUUCCCUAAAUCCAGAAAAACCCUCAUUUCCUUGCGGCCUAAGUCUGCAUGGGUCUAUAUAUGUGCAAACCCCUUGUCUUAGAAACGGGCUUUACGCACGCAUAUAUGUAUGUGCAUUAAACCCAUUUCUUUAGCAAGAAAAGGGAAGGAGGAACAAGCAGGCCUGUUUUAGAACUAAAUGACCCAGAUCUCAGACCACAGAAAGGAACCUGUGCAUUAAACUAACUGUGUCUGCUUGGGAGGAAGCAUUAGCAGCCUCCACAAGCCUACCCUUGACUCAGCUUCCAACUAGGGUAGCUUGGGAUCUUGUUAAGAAGCAUUGGGAUGCCUUUGGCUCCACUGUAUCUUACUUUGCCGCUCACCUGCAGGUCUCAUCUUGCUGUCCUAUAAACCCUUCGGCUUGCUUGGCAGUUUGCUGUCCUGCAAAGGUCAUGGAGGGCAAAUCUGUUGGCCUGACUGGGGCAAUCAGACUAAGGGACUUAUUAGUAAGCUUUUCUAAGGUGGCAGCACAUGGCCCAGCAUCUCUGAAGGACAAGGUAGAGAGCAGAGCAGCAGGCACCCCAACACAUGUAAGACAGUCCUAGGACUUACCUUUGCAAUCCCCAGAGUACUGCAAUACUUACAGCCCUACUAAGGAUUCCUGUAGGCCAGAAAGCCCCUUUAUUGCCACUGAUACCUACACAGCUGUGAUAAUGACCUAGAGGGAGACAACCUGGUGCUGGUCUCGCAAGGAAAAUCACCUGAUGUUGCAGCACCUCAGGUUGAUGAAGAAACCAAUGUAGCAGCAAACGGCAGUGCUGUUAAUGGCACAGCUGUAUGCAGUGAUUUGUUUUCUGUCAGUGGGUUUGGGAAGGGAUGGGAAGUAGGAGAACAGUCACAGAGAAGCUCAGUUACAAAAAUUCAAAGGCAAAGCUCCCAAUUAAACACGUAGCAGUCAAGCUAAAAUUAUAGGUGACAAUUACUGUAACUUGAUUAGGCACAAUAACAAAUUCACUUCUCUAAAUCACUUUCACAACUCUCCUAGGAGGUCUGAAAGAUGUAGUAUAUGAGGUUCAUUUAAUUUCUAAUGUAGUAAUUAUCACUACUGAGUAAAAAAAAAAAAAGAAAAAAA